GGUCGCCGGCUUCUUAGAGAGACUAUCAACUCAAGUUGAUGGAAGUUUGAGGCAAUAACAGGUCUGUGAUGCCCUUAGAUGUUCUGGGCCGCACGCGCGCUACACUGACAGAGCCAACGAGUUCUUCACCUUGUUCGAAAGAAUUGGGUAAUCUUGUUAAACUCUGUCGUGCUGGGGAUAAAGCAUUGCAAUUAUUGCUUUUCAACGAGGAAUGCCUAGUAAGCGCGUGUCAUCAGCAUGCGUUGAUUACGUCCCUGACCUUUGUACACACCGCCCGUCGCU
rnacentral:rRNA from 1 species